GGGGCACGGUGGUGGUGGGGGCUUUGGUAGAAAGAAGUCACAUGGUAAAUUGGUGGAAUUUAGUCCAAGAACCUCAGUGACUAAAGCAGAACAGAAUAAACCUCGGGAGAGUCCUCCGGUGAAGGCUGCAGGGUAGAGAUGUGACCCUGGGAUCUCUGUGUUAAGGAGGGCAGUGCCCUCUGUCCUCUGGCCCUGACUUUUUCUGCUCCAAGUCUCUGCUCACCCUUUCCUAGCUGUAGCACCGAAAAACUUCCUAAAUAUGAGCUGGGGUGGUUGUGAAGAAGGCAUCUGUAGUCCCCCCAAAAACACUGGUGAUUUACAUGCAUUGUCCCCAUCAGCCCUCACAGCAGUCAAGUCACGAUCCCGUUUUAUGAGGAUUUAAACUGACACUGGAAGACUCGAAAAUUGGCAGAGUGGGGAUUUGAAGCAGCUGUACCUGCCCAGAGUCUGUGGACUUGCCUGUGAAGGGGUGGGGGGCCUGGGAGAUGGGGAGCUUCAGCUCCUGUCUGCUUGGCUUCUUGUCUGUCCUGCCUUCCAUCCAGAGUAACUCCAUUUCUGCAUGCCUGCCUCCGUGCCUCCCUCAGCAAGAAAGAACCCUUGCCCCUACCUGUCCAGGACUGCCCCUGGAAGACUGCUGGAGGAGCAUCAGAGCUGCCUCCUCCACCAACACCCAUCUACCUGCCCUCACCCAGUCCUUGGAGCUCCUGUGACGUGCCCCCUGAGCUCUGGCGUUUCUCUUAGCCCCCUGGACACUGCAGGAGAGAAAUCCUCAGUCCCAGAAGUUCUGUGUAGUCAUUCCAAGCAGGACAUGUCAUUGUACCCCAAAGGAAUGCUGGCCUCUGCUGAGAGCCUGGCUGGGGCCUCAGAGAGCUGCAGGGAAAGGCAAAGCAUUUUAAAAUGCCUGGGCUCAUUGUAAUUGGGAGUUAGGACACAAAUGAGAAAUAAACCAGGAGCUGUGGAAUUUCUUGAGAAAAGAAAAAUGUUCCGUGUUGGCAAUAUAAAAGAAAACUUUCUGUCACUCAAUGUUUUUUAUGUUCUAUUGCUUUAGACACGCUUUUAUCAAACAUGACAUUGCCCGGUGUGUUCCCUAUAUCUGCCCCUGCUCCUGACAGGUAAGCCAGAGCUGCUUCCUCUCCUAAUGGGCCUGUUGCCCUCCAGACCCUUCCCUUUAUAGAAUACUGGGAAAUGUAUUUAUAAAUAUGAUUUUUAAAGGUGGGAGUUCAUAACCCACUUGAAUCAAAGUGUG
rnacentral:lncRNA from 1 species